rnacentral:rRNA from 1 species
UACGUAGGGGGCAAGCGUUGUCCGGAAUCAUUGGGCGUAAAGAGCGUGUAGGCGGCUCGAUAAGUCCGCUCUGAAAGCCCGGGGCUCAACCCCGGGAGGCGGGCGGAUACUGUCGAGCUAGAGUCCGGAAGAGGCGAGUGGAAUUCCUGGUGUAGCGGUGAAAUGCGCAGAUAUCAGGAGGAACACCAACGGCGAAAGCACUCUGCUGGGCCGACACUGACACUGAGAGACGAAAGCUAGGGGGAGCGAAUGGG